GGUUUUGGAGUUUUCUGUAGGGUUUUUAAUUUUUUAUGUGUACAAUAUUUUAUUUGUUUUGUUUUUUCUUCCAAGUAUGUUUCUACGAGUUUUGUUUGAGUACAUGGUGUAUUAUUUGUAUUGAUUUCAGAUUUAAUAUGUAUGGGUAUGCUUUUGAUAAGUGUGUAAUACUUCAGGAAAUUAUUUGAAGGUAUUCCGUAUAUGUAGCAUAUAUCAUCAAAAGAGUAAAAAUCCUUAAUUCUGAAGUCAUAUAAUUGGUCGACAUAUUUAAUGCUUCGUUCAAACCAAUCUUUAUAGAAAAACGUCUUAUUGUUUGAAGUUAUGUCUUUAUUGUUCCAUAAAAUAGUUUAACUGCUGGUUUUGGUUUCUAGUUUAUGAGUGACAUCAAUCCAUGCUGAUAGAACAUCAGACAGAAAUAUGUUUUCGUUUGCAAUUUCAUGUAAGAUAGUAUUGCUGAUGUUACAUUCAAAGAGUAAGGAGUCACCAUAUUUUUUUAGGAUUUUCUGGUAGAAUAAUUUCCAUUUACUCGUAUUGGUAUUAUCUAGGUAUCUUUUAACCCAGCUGCAUUUGAUUGCCUUCAAGAAUGAGUCAAUGUUCGUUUUAUUUUAUUAGGCUUACCGUCCCAUAUGAAAUUAAAUAUUGCUGAUUUUAUAUCGUUAAUAACAUAAUUUGGUGGAUUUGGGAGAACUGUUAAUACAUAAAUUAAUUUAGGAAGUGCAAACGUUUUCAAUACUGUGUUUUUUCCGAUUAGUGUAAGUUUACGGUGAUGCCAUGAUUUUAAGCAGUUUUUAAAAUUCUGUAAUUUAGGAAGUAUGUUUUUAAGAACUGUAUCAUUUUCAUUAAUUGUGAAAGUAAUUCCUAACGUUGUGGCUUCAUCGGAUGUCCAAUUAAAUUUCAUUUCUUUUUUAUAUUGGACAUUACUUUGUUUUAAUUUACCUACUCGUAGCACAGUACAUUUAUUUUUGUUUUGUUUAAGACCCGAUGUCAUUCCGUAAAGGGUUAACGACUCUAUUAGGUUAUGGAAAGAAUCGUAAUUGUCGUUUAAAAAAUAAGUUGCAUCGUUAGCAAAUAGGGACUGUUUGAUUUCUUCGUCAGGUUCUAGUGAUAUGCCUUUUAUGUGCUUCUUUGAUUGAAUGUGAUGUGAUAGAUACUCGAUGCAAAUAAUAAAUAGCGAUGAUGAGAGUGGACAUCCUUGUCGAACCCCUCGUUCGAUGUUAAAACUGUUUGAAAAGAAGCCAUUGUUAAUGAUUAUACUGUUAAUAUCGGUAUAGAAUAGUUUGACCCAUUGAAUGAGACUUUCACCAAUGUUCAUAUUUUCUAAGCAAGAGAACAUAAAUGAGUGAUCAAGCGAAUCGAAUGCCUUUUCAAAGUCUGCAAAGAAUAUUAGACCAGGAUUAUUUGAAUUGUUGAAAUAGUUUAUGCAUUCUUGGAUAAGACGAACGUUUUCACCAAUGUAACGUCCUUUUAUGAAACCAGAUUGAGAUUUUGAAAUGAUUGAUGGUAAUAUUUUUUUAAUUCUGUUUGCUAUACUUUUAGUUGCAAUUUAAUAAUCAUUCUUUAGUAAACUAAUUGAGCGCCAGUUCGAUAAGGAUUCUAAGUUUUUUCCAGGUUUUGGAAUGAGUGAUAUUAUACCUUGUUUUUGAAGCGUAGUUAAGUUUUCAUUAUUAUAUGAAUAGUUUAGUGAAUUAAUUAAAUGUGUUUUGAUAUCAUUCCGAAAUAUUUUAUUAAACUCAAUGGUAAUACCAUCAGAACCUGGACUUUUGUUAUUUUGCAUUUCUUUUAGUGCUAAUCCUCAUUCAUAUUCAUUUAGUAAUCCGUCACACAAUAGUUUUUCUUCUUGAUUUAAAGCGUGUUGUGUAUUUUUUAAAAGGGUGUUAUUUUCAACAUUUUUUCGUUUAUAGAGGGUUUCGAAAAAUAAGCGUUGUUCUUCUAGUAUUUAAGUUCUGUUUGUUAUAUCUUUGCCAUUGACUACUAAUUUGUGUACAGUUUUUUGUUCACUUCUACGUUUCCAAUGUUUGCGAAGUAUUUUGUAUUUUUUUCAUUGUGUUCAACAUGCUGUGCACGCGCUCUAAGUAGUAUUCCAUUGAGUUGUGUAUGAUAGAUUCCAUCUAAUAUUUGUUUUUUUAAUGUUAUUUCAUUUUCAAUGUCGGUGGUAUCAUUUGUGUUUGUUUGAUGCAAUUGUUUUUCAAGUGUUUCAAUGGUUUUGAUGGUUUCAGUUUCAAGUUUAUGUGUUUCUUUUUGUUUAAAUGAUGUGUAUCUAAUUGUUGUGUUACGUAUAUUUCCUUUAAUUACUUCUCAUAAGGUGUUAGGGUUUGCAUCUUUAUUAUUUUGAACUGGAUUUAAUAUUUCCUGUUUUAUUUGUGUUUAAUAUUGUGUAUCUAAUAAGAUGCUGUUGUUAAUUUUAAAGUAUCCUGGGCCUCUUUCAGGUUUUAUAUUGUGCAGUUUGAGUUCAACUAGAGAGUGGUCAGUCAUAAAUCCUGGUUUUAUGUUACAUGUGUCAAUAA